rnacentral:rRNA from 1 species
UACAACUUUCAGCAACGGAUCUCUUGCGUCUCGCAUCGAUGAAGAACGCAGCGAAUUGCGAUAAGUAAUGUGAAUUGCAGAUUUUACAGUGAAUCAUCGAAUCUUUGAACGCAGCCUGCGCUCCUG